UAAGACGGAAGGUGCAAGCGUUGCUCGGAAUCACUGGGCGUAAAGGGUGCGUAGGCGGCUUCUUAAGUCUGGUGUGAAAGCCCAGGGCUCAGCUCUGGAAGUGCACUAGAAACUGGGAAGCUUGAGUACCGGAGGGGAGAGUGGAAUUCCUGGUGUAGCGGUGAAAUGCGUAGAUAUCAGGAGGAAUACCGGUGGCGAAAGCGACUCUCUGGACGGUUACUGACGCUGAGGCACGAAAGCGUGGGGAGCAAACAGGAUUAGAUACCCUGGUAGUCCACGCCGUAA
rnacentral:rRNA from 1 species